UCAAUUCGAAAAGGAGAUCCUGCGGCCUUUCAUUUCGGCCCAUUUCCCUCUUUCUCAUCUUCGUCUUCUUCAACUCCCACUUUCAAAAAAAUUGAGGGGUUUAGGGUUUGUUGAUUUCGAUUUCUUCUACCAAUUACUUGUGUGUGACUACACACUGCGUUUCCAUGGAGAUCUCUAAAGAGCUUUAUCCCUCCCAAGAUGACCUUCUCUACGAAGAAGAGCUUCUGCGAAACCCCUUCAGCCUCAAGCUCUGGUGGCGAUACCUAAUUGCUCGUGCCGACGCCCCAUUCAAGAAGCGCUUUAUCAUUUACGAGCGCGCCCUCAAAGCCCUUCCCGGAAGCUACAAACUUUGGUACGCUUAUCUCCGAGAACGGCUCGAGUUGGUCCGUAACCUACCCAUCACUCACUCCCACUACGAGACCUUAAACAAUACCUUCGAGCGAGCCCUCGUCACCAUGCACAAAAUGCCCAGAAUUUGGAUCAUGUACCUCCAGACUUUGACGGACCAGAAAUUGCUCACUCGUACCCGCCGCACCUUCGAUAGAGCACUCUGCGCUUUACCCGUCACCCAGCACGACCGCAUUUGGGAGCCCUAUCUCGUUUUUGUGAGCCAGAGGGGUAUCCCAAUUGAGACUUCGCUUCGCGUUUAUCGAAGGUACUUAAAGUACGACCCUAGUCAUAUUGAAGAUUUCAUUGAAUUCUUGAUUAAUUCUUGUCUUUGGCAAGAAGGAUCUGAGAGGUUAGCUUCGGUGCUGAAUGAUGACCAGUUUUACUCAAUAAAGGGAAAAACUAGACACAGGCUUUGGUUGGAGUUGUGUGAUUUGCUCACUAAGCACGCUACGGAGGUUUCUGGGUUGAAUGUGGACGCAAUUAUAAGGGGUGGGAUUAGGAAGUUUACUGAUGAGGUGGGUCGCCUUUGGACCUCUCUUGCAGAGUAUUACAUUAGGAGAAAUUUACAUGAGAAAGCUAGAGAUAUAUUUGAGGAGGGUAUGACGACUGUGGUUACUGUUAGAGAUUUUAGUGUAAUUUUUGAUUCUUAUGCCCAAUUUGAAGAGAGUAUGCUGGCUCAUAAGAUGGAAGUUAUGGAUUUGAGCGACGACGAAGGAGAGGAAGAAGGUGGUGUAGAAGAGAAUGGCGACGAAGAGGAUGAAGAUGUGCGGUUGGAUUUAAAUUUGUCUGUGGCUGAAUUUGAGAAGAAGAUGCUUAAUGGUUUUUGGCUACACGAUGAUAAGGAUAUAGAUUUAAGGUUAGCUAGAUUAGAUCAUCUCAUGGAUAGAAGACCCGAAUUAGCUAAUAGUGUUCUUUUACGGCAAAAUCCGCAUAAUGUGGAGCAGUGGCAUCGGAGGGUGAAGCUGUUUGAGGGUAAUCCUACAAAACAGAUCCUUACUUACACUGAGGCGGUGAGGACGGUUGAUCCCAUGAAAGCAGUGGGGAAACCUCAUACGUUGUGGAUUGCUUUUGCCAAGCUGUAUGAGAACCAUAAUGAUAUUGUAAAUGCAAGAGUGAUUUUUGACAAAGCAGUGCAGGUGAACUACAAGACCGUGGAUAAUCUAGCUAGUAUUUGGUGUGAGUGGGCAGAAAUGGAAUUGAAACAUAAAAAUUUUAAAGGAGCACUGGAGCUUAUGAGGCGUGCUACAGCAGAGCCAUCAGUGGAGGUUAAACGAAAAGUGGCUGCUGAUGGAAGUGAACCAGUUCAAAUGAAGCUGCAUAAGUCUUUGAGACUAUGGACUUUUUAUGUUGAUUUGGAGGAGAGCCUUGGCACUUUGGAGUCCACUCGAGAAGUUUAUGAAAGGAUACUGGAUUUAAGAAUAGCCACACCACAAAUUAUAAUUAACUAUGCAUUUCUGUUGGAAGAAAAUAAAUACUUUGAAGAUGCAUUUAAGGUAUAUGAAAGAGGAGUAAAGAUAUUCAAGUAUCCACAUGUCAAAGAUAUAUGGGUGACUUAUCUAACUAAGUUUGUGAAGAGAUAUGGACGGACAAAAUUGGAACGUGCAAGAGAGCUAUUUGAACAUGCUAUUGAAACGACCCCUGCUGAUGUAGUGAAACCUCUGUAUCUUCAAUAUGCCAAACUGGAGGAGGAAUAUGGUCUGGCAAAGCGAGCUAUGAAGGUCUAUGACCAAGCUACUAAGGCUGUUCCAAACAGUGAAAAAUUUAGCAUGUAUGAGCUCUACAUUAACCGUGCAGCUGAGAUCUUUGGUGUCCCCAAAACUAGGGAAAUAUACGAACAAGCAAUAGAAUCUGGUCUUCCAGAUAAAGAUGUGAAGAAAAUGUGUUCAAAGUAUGCCGAGCUUGAGAAGAGCUUGGGAGAAAUUGACCGUGCUCGUGCAAUAUUUGUCUUUGCAUCGCAGUUUUCAGAUCCACGAUCAGAUAUGGAUUUCUGGCAAGAAUGGAAUAAUUUUGAAGUGCAACAUGGUAACGAAGAUACCUUUAGAGAAAUGCUCCGUAUUAAACGAAGUGUGUCUGCAAGUUACAGCCAGACGCACUUUAUUCUGCCAGAGUAUUUGAUGCAGAAGGAUCAAACUGUGGACCUUGAUGAGGCAAAAGACAAAUUGAAACAGGCAGGGGUCCCUGAAGAUGAAAUGGCUGCUCUAGAGAGGCAGUUAGCUCCUGCAGCAAACGAUACUAUUGCCAAAGAUGGCAGUAGGAAAGUGGGAUUCGUGAGUGCCGGAGUGCAAUCACAAACUGAUGAAGGGUUGAAAGUUACAGCAAAUCAUGAAGAUAUUGAGCUACCAGAAGAGAAUGACUCUGAUGAAGACAAUGAAAUUGUUGAAAUUAAGCAAAAAGAUGUGCCGGAUGCUGUUUUUGGAGACUUGGCUCACAAGAGAAAAGAAAUUGAAGAUGAUGCUCAGAACAAGGAUGAUGAAAGCCGUCUUGGUGCCCUCGAGAGAAUAAAGAGACUAAAAAAGGCGGCCUGAUUGAAGAAAACUUAUGGGACUGAUCAUUCCGUACAAUAUCAAAAGUGCACACCCAAAUUCUUGAUGAACCGACUCUAGUCAGAGAAGAGUUGCUAGAUGCAAUUGUGGCAAAGAAAGCUUGUGUCCGGAUUAGAUCAAAGUUUCUUGUCACAUCUUAAGCUGCCACUGGAAGAUCAUCCAAUGCUCUUUUCAAGGCUUUUGAACCAAACAAAUGGAAAAUGUGAAGUAAACCCAGAUUUCGUGAAGUGGUGUAGCUGUUAAAACCAAAUCCAAAAUAUAAACUUAUCUAUGCAUCAUGUGUUGGCAGCAAAGUUUAUACUUCCUUCAAAUCAUUAAGCAUAUUUCACUGUAUGUUUUUGUGCAACUCUCUAAAUUAUCUUUUUAUUGUUACAGUGGAUGCUUUGAAAGCCAACACUGAGUAUAAUGGUAUAUUGGUUAUACAGAUGCUAUAUAGCAUCAUCAAGUGUUGUUCAAUGGUUUUAGAAGGUAAUGACAUGAACAUGAAUGGUUAGUUAAUGUGUUAAGCACAAUCCAUGUUUGUAGUUUUCUUAUAAUUUGUGCAUUAUGUUAGUGAACUUUCUCCUUGCUCACUUGCUCACUUGCUCACUUGCCCUUUGCCCCUCACUCUUUUCUUUCUCUUGAAUUUGCAUCUUUUGGAGCUUCUACUUUUUUUUGGUGUAAAAUGCUCAUCUUUGUGGGUUUCUAUUUAGAUUUUUCUUUUUAAUAUUCAAACUUCAAAGCUUGUUUGAGUAA